GUGCUCACUUCAGCAGCACAUAUACUAAAACUGGAACAAUAGAGAGAUUAGCCUGGCGCCUGCACAAGGAUGACACACAAAUUCGUGAAGUGUUCCAUACUUUU
rnacentral:snRNA from 1 species